CAGUCGCCGCGGUAAUGCGUAGGUCCCGAGCGUUGUCCGGAUUUAUUGGGCGUAAAGCGAGCGCAGGCGGUUAGAUAAGUCUGAAGUGAAAGGCAGUGGCUCAACCAUUGUAGGCUUUGGAAACUGUUUAACUUGAGUGCAGAAGGGGAGAGUGGAAUUCCAUGUGUAGCGGUGAAAUGCGUAGAGAUGUGGAGGAACACCAGUGGCGAAGGCGACUCUCUGGUCUGUAACUGACGCUGAGGAGCGAAAGCGUGGGGAGCGAACAGGAUUAGAUACCCGCGUAGUCCCUGUCUCUUAUACC
rnacentral:rRNA from 1 species